rnacentral:lncRNA from 1 species
CGCUGAUCUCAGCACAGGCCGUGGUAGAACCUGGAGGGAGGAUGGUCCUUUGCACUUAGUGAUAAGCUCAUCUGAGGUUGCUUUUCAAAGGGGUUCUAUUGGUGCUUGGUUUCCCAGAUCCAUCACCUCAUAGACCAAAUGCCACAGGAGCAUUUGACCUAGUUUGCCGGGACUUUCCUUGUUUUAGCACUGACAGUCUCUUGUCCUAGGAAACCCCCCAGUCCCAGGCAAUCUGGGAUGUUUGGUCACCUUAGUCAGCAUGGGUUGAAAUGUUCACCACUUGUGACCCAGAACUUUUUCUCUCACAAGGGAGAUCCACAGCUCAGCAGAUGCCUGAUUGCCUCCCGGGGGUCUCUGCACACCUCUUUUUGUGGAUGUUUGAUUGCUGGGAGGGGGAACACUUUAAGGAUCAAUGGACAAAGGUGAUCAAGAUCUGGCAACCCUACCUGGAGGGCAAAGUCGCUCUCGGUUGAGAAGCACUACAUCAGAACAAGGCUGGAAAUGGUUAUGAAAGCCAUAGAUAAAAACAAAACCAAGCACAGCUUAAUACCACCUCACUAGAGACACAUUUUAGAUACAUGCUUUAAAGAAAGACACAUUUUCCAUUUAUACUUGAAAGAAACAACCAGAGAAAAAU